rnacentral:rRNA from 1 species
CCAAUAGCGUAUAUUAAAGUUGUUGCAGUUAAAAAGCUCGUAGUUGAAUUUCGGGAUCAGUAGGUUGGUCGUGCCACCGGUACGUACCGGUCUCACUGAUUCCUCCUUCCUGAGGAACUGUAAUGCCAUUAAUUUGUUGUUGCGGGGAAUCUGGACUGUUACUUUGAAAAAAUUAGAGUGUUUAAAGCAGGCUAACGCUUGAAUACAUUAGCAUGGAAUAAUGAAAUAGGACGUUCGAUCCUAUUUUGUUGGUUUCUAGGAUUGACGUAAUGAUUAAUAGGGAUAGUUGGGGGCAUUAGUAUUCAAUUGUCAGAGGUGAAAUUCUUGGAUUUAUUGAAGACUAACUACUGCGAAAGCAUUUGCCAAGGAUGUUUUCAUUAAUCAAGAACGAAAGUUAGGGGAUCGAAGACGAUCAGAUACCGUCGUAGUCUUAACCAUAAACUAUGCCGACUAGGGAUCGGAUGAUGUUAAUUUUUUAAUGACUCAUUCGGCGCCUUACG